GAGCACUGCUUAGCUUGACCGGCAAUAUGGCGAGGUAAACAAAAGUCACGUGAUUUGAUGACGCAGUGCACGAGCGCUAUAGUUGUGCCGCUCCUUCUCAUUUACCUCCCUUGGCCACUGGGAGUCAGUAGUGGACAUGCAGACACAAACAAAGAACACCAGUGCUGCUGCUACUGCUUCUUCUUCUACAGAACUACUUCUGUAAGUGACUCAGUCAGACGCUCCGAUGAAAUAUUUGUCCUUUUUCAUAAAGGAUGAAGAACAUAUGCCUCUAAACAGACCUUUUUAGGCAAAGCUAUGUGAUUGGUGGAAAUCCAAAAUGUGUCAUUCUCUUCAACUUCAACUGUCAUGCGCACCUGCAGAAAAUGGAUGUGGUCAUCAGUGUGGGACAGCUUCUCCAGGCGGACCAUCUCCUUGACUUCGUUGUACUUCCUCUCUACGGAGAGCAGGAGCUCCGUGAAGAUUCGCUCGUUUUCCUCCAGGACCGACUCAGCUGAGUGCUGACGUGAUAGAAAAGUCACAAGAAGCA